rnacentral:rRNA from 1 species
UACGGGGGGAGCAAGCGUUGUUCGGAUUUACUGGGCGUAAAGGGCGCGUAGGCGGCGUGACAAGUCACUUGUGAAAUCUCCGGGCUUAACUCGGAACGGUCAAGUGAUACUGUCGUGCUAGAGUACAGAAGGGGCAACUGGAAUUCUCGGUGUAGCGGUGAAAUGCGUAGAUAUCGAGAGGAACACCUGCGGCGAAGGCGGGUUGCUGGGCUGAUACUGACGCUGAGGCGCGAAAGCUAGGGGAGCGAACCGG